UACGUAGGGUGCGAGCGUUAAUCGGAAUUACUGGGCGUAAAGCGUGCGCAGCCGGUUCUCCAAGUCCGUUGUGAAAGCCCCGGGCUCAACCUGGGAAUGGCAGUGGAAACUAUAGAACUUGAAUCUGGCAGAGGGGGGUGGAAUGCCGCGUGUAGCAGUGAAAUGCGUAGAGAUGUGGAGGAACACCGAUGGCGAAGGCAGCCCCCUGGGCUAACACUGACGCUCAUGCACGAAAGCGUGGGGAGCAAACAGG
rnacentral:rRNA from 1 species